rnacentral:rRNA from 1 species
CAUCAUUCAGUUGGGCACUCUAGCAAGACUGCCGGUGACAAACCGGAGGAAGGUGGGGAUGACGUCAAAUCAUCAUGCCCCUUAUGACCUGGGCUACACACGUGCUACAAUGGGAAGUACAACGAGUCGCGAAGUCGCGAGGCUAAGCUAAUCUCUUAAAGCUUCUCUCAGUUCGGAUUGCAGGCUGCAACUCGCCUGCAUGAAGCCGGAAUCGCUAGUAAUCGCGGAUCAGCACGCCGCGGUGAAUACGUUCCC